rnacentral:rRNA from 1 species
AGCGAACGCUGGCGGCAGGCUUAACACAUGCAAGUCGAGCGCCCCGCAAGGGGAGCGGCAGACGGGUGAGUAACACGUGGGAACGUGCCUUUUGGUUCGGAACAACCCAGGGAAACUUGGGCUAAUACCGGAUAAGCCCUUACGGGGAAAGAUUUAUCGCCAAAAGAUCGGCCCGCGUCUGAUUAGCUAGUUGGUGGGGUAAUGGCCCACCAAGGCUACGAUCAGUAGCUGGUCUGAGAGGAUGAUCAGCCACAUUGGGACUGAGACACGGCCCAAACUCCUCGGGGAGGCAGCAGGGGGGAAUAUGGGACAAUGGGGGCAACCUUGCUCCAGCCAUGCCGCGGGAGUGAUGAAGGCCUUAGGGUUGUAAAGCUCUUUUAGCAGGGAAGAUAAUGACGGUACCUGAAGAAAAAGCCCCGGCUAACUUCGUGCCAGCCGCCGCGGUAA